rnacentral:misc_RNA from 1 species
UCUCCGUUGGUGAACCAGCGGAGGGAUCAUUACAGGGCACUUUGGGGGGACCCGAGGGGGCUCCGGUCCCCGCGGCGACCCCCGUCGUCGUCCGCCGCGAACUUUACCGAUGUUGUUGCUUCGGGGGGGAGGCGAGGGCGCCCCGCGCGCCCGGACCCCCCCCCCGCGGCCCACCCAAACUCUCGCUGUAUCUGGCACUCUGAUUAAAAAGAAAACGUUACAACUUUCGGCAAUGGAUCUCUAGGCUCUGGCAUCGAUGAAGAACGCAGC